UGAGAAACACUGAGCAGUCUGUGCUGAGCUGCAUUACUCUUGCAGGCCUCUUGUAUAGGUGCUUUAUGAGACAAUGUUCUGACAGAUUUUUUACAGGCAUGAUUUUGUUUUCCCUUCCUUCUUCCAUGAAUAAUUGGAGGAACUGAUUUAAAAUCUCUCCUUCUUGUGUAUUGGGGAAUAUAUUUUUUCUCUAAGUCUUUGUCUACUCUUGAAAAGGGAUUUAAAAGACAACCUAUGAACCUGCUGGGUUUAGAUAUGGUGUUUUCAGGAGGAGUUAUCAGUCAAUCGGCCAGGGCUAGGAGCAAACUGAGGUCCUUGCUGGUUUAAAGCAGACCCUAAAAUACCCUGAAACCAAGGCCACUGUGCAACACCUGACCAGCGGCCACCUUUCAUAUCCCCACCAAAUUAAAAACAAGAUGCCGAAUUGUCCUGUGAGGCUGCCUCAGCCCACAUGUAACUGACACUGCCUCUUCCUCCGAACGGCUCAGGCCCCUCUCGCUUCUCCAUCUUCCUACCUUCCCUGCCAUCUGUUCCCGCUGCUCCUGCAGCCUCUCUGCUCUCCUCCCGCCAGGGCCUGUCUGAGCAGACGGGUAUGAGAGCCUCUGAUGAGGUAGGCCUCAGGCCCCUCCAUCACUCCUCGCCAUGAGGAAAGCACCAGCUGUCUGGCUUCAUUUGCAUUUUCUCUCCAAAAUAAUGAAAUUAGCCAUGAGUAUCCUGAGGUGAUGCGAGACGCAAAUUUAGGCUGGAUGUGUCAGUGUGUGCUGGGAAGGGAGAGAGAAGGUCACGGAGGAUGCUCGCAGCAUUGAAAUGGAGGGCAAGGCAUCUCCUGCCAGCUGCCAGGGCCCCGCGACCUGGGCAGAGGCCUGACGGGAGUCUGGUUCUCCUGGGCCCCUCAGCCCACACCACCACCUCCUCGCCGGGCCAAGACGUCCAGCCUGUGUCCCUGCAGAUAACCGGAGAGGACACGCGGGUGACUGAGCUGCCCAGGCCAGCAGCCAGCUCGGGGUGCGGCCGAGCAGUGCUGCAGCGUGCAGGAGCUGUGCAAUGGCCAUGUCUGGCCAGGCUGGCCUGGUCGCCCAUCGUGCCUUUGCCACAGCGCGACUGUUCCUAAUUAUUUCAGUGUUUGCUCAGUCAGAGCUUGUCACAGGUGCUGCUCAGCAAUUCUCAUCUCCUCUUCACCUUCCUGAAUGCAUUUCAAAGUAUUUGCUGAAGUGUUUCCCACAGUACAGAGAAAAUAUCUGAACAUGCUGGAGUUCCGGCCUCACAAGCUCCUGUUGUUCUGAGGACAGUUACUGCUUCUUCUGUUUUACUGCUGUUCAUUCAGUUCUAAGCUGUUGUUUGAAUGGGGUUGUUCUGCUGACUGAAGAACAAUGCUGGUGACUCUUCUUCAAUAAACAAUGCUGGUGACUUCUCAACAAUGCUGGUGACUUCUUUUUUAAGCAGUCAAAAUGGCAAACUGCAGUUCUGCCACUUCUGCAUUUUACCUAUAAGGCUUCUUGAACUGGGCUCAGCAGCUUCCACAGCUGUGUGUGUAGAUAUGUGAGCAUGAGCCUCGGGAACAUGUCCUUAGUAUUAGAUUCUGCUGAUGGAACCCACAGUUCUCAACCCAAAGAAAGAAUUUCCCUAUUUGCGAAAGUAAUAAAAUGCUCCUGCACGUGAUCCCUCAUGAAGCCACUACAGAGCUGAAAAGUCAUCCCUUAUGGUAUUAUCCCUCCUCCUUCAUAUCUUCAGCUCUUCCUUCUGUGCCAGACCCAAAACAGUUUCAGUUCUUUCAAUCAGCUCCCCAAUAACUGCAACCUCUGCGUCCAGUUGAGUUCUUUCUUAGCAGCUAUUCUGUGUGCCUGAGCCCAAACACCUAGUCUUAAAAAGUGACACUGCUAUGAAGGGCUAGCAGCACUAUUAGCUGAGGUAUCCACAGGAUCUUCCAAAUAUAGACACGAGCCCCUGUUUCCUUUGGAAAGCUGAGAAUAUCUCCCCUCCAGAAGGUUAGUGCUCCAGUUUAUAACCUUGAUAUACUGUCUGAUCCUAACCUUGUUAUUUAAUUAAGUCUGGGCUCUGGAGCGGUGCAAUUCCGAGGUGCUAAUACCGUGUUCAAUGAAGAUGAGCACAUUGCUCUGCUUUUUUCAAGGGAAAGUAGCAGCAUAAGAAUGAGAGUUUAAACACAAUGCUAAUUAUCAGCCACAGGAAUUACUUUUAGUGUUAUAAAGCCUUUUCUUCUUCUUUUCUUCUCAUAAAAAAAAUUCUGAUAAUUUAGGUACCUACACAAUUAUCUUUAGCAGUUAUUAAUGGAUUAAUCUAACCAUAUGGAAUUAGUGUAUUAGUCUCAAUAUUGCAUCAGAUGUCAGAUUAUAUUUCUGGUUUAGAGCUUGGAGAGUUCAUAGAACUGUUCUGGUGAGUAGGGAAGGGGGUUUUCUCCCUUUUUUCUGUUUUUGUUAUCAUUCUUUUUUGUUUAGGCUUUGGAUUUUCUUUUUUAGUACAAGGUACAAUUUUUGGAUUAUGCUGCAAGCCUUACCUCUCCUCUCAGUCCCACCAUACAGAUUUUUCUAGUAAGAUCCCUGUUAAGAGCUAUGGGAAGGCCUUUUCUUGUAUUGUUCCACUGUUUUUUGCCAUUUAUGGCCCUUUAAAAUGACAUGAAAUAUGUUAGCUGAAGGUUGCUGACAUAUCCAGCAUUUACUAUGGUUAGAUAAACCUGCUUUAUGUAUAGUGGCAAGUUGUUUUGUGGUUUUUUUUAAGGGAGCUAUUUGAUGUUGAUCAGAUCUUUUAAAUUAUAGAACUGGUCCCAGUGGAGAUGGAUUAGUAAGCAGAGGGUAGAUGAAGCAGUCAAAAGCACAAACUGCAAUUUACCACAUGGUCUGUGUAAUUUAUCACACAAACGUCUCUGACACAUACACGGUACGUGUGUAUCCUACAAGUUUGAUUGUGUUGUGCUUAUCUACUUAAAAUGUUAGCCAGCCUUCUCCCAGUCCUGGAAAAAAAGCUAAGUUGCACUGGAAGUUUGCUACUAUUUGGUCUGCAAAGCACAGUGUAAUAAAGAAAAUAUUUAAAGCAGAAAUUCUUUGUGCUGAGGAUGACCACAACAUUUAUAUUAAGACAGAUGCUGAAAAUAAGGCUCACCCUCAGGUUAGAUACAAAUGCACAAGAAAGAAAAACAUAACCUUAAGAACCUGAUAUAGAUUAAUUUAAUCAGAAAAUACCCUGCCCUGUGUAUGUCUACACAACUUAAAGGCAGUACUGCAUAGAGGUAUCUGUGCUAGCUAAUGCAUAGACAUGUAUUUUUUGUGGUCUGCAGAUAACUGCAUGGAUAUUAAUGAGAUUCAGUCAUUUGUGCUAGAGGCAACAUUUCUCCUAGAUCAUUUUAUUUGUUCCAUAUUGUUAUCUAGUGCUGCAUCAAAAGGGUUUAGUUUGCUGGAGUUUCUUCAAAAAUUACAUUGUGAAAACAGUGCAGGCAUCAUGCUGUGUGCACCUGAUAAUGUUCUGCACCAUCAGUAAUUCCUGCAACACUCUGUCUUAUUAUAAAAUACUGAACCAGAAUCAAUUCUUUCAUAGAAAGGGCCUAUUGUUUAAAAAUAACACAUAUAUGCUCUUUUUUUUUGUCUACUAGGAUUAUAGAUCCCAUAUAGCACCUUCAACAAUGAGAAUAUUACCAGUAAAUUGUGAAUAGUCACUGCUUCUUGCUUACAUUUUAAAUGAAAUUAAAUUCUCUACAUGCUAAGACAGCUGUGUUCACAUAAAGAAAAACAUGAGAAUAAGAUACAAGUUUAAAGAUAGAUUUUUAGUGAUGACAUAACUUAGAAAAGGAUUAAUAAUAUUUUGCUUUUUGUUAACAUUGCCUGAUUAUUGAUUGUAAAUAUUUUUACAGGCAGCAAGGAGGAAAUACAAGUUCUAGGAUGAAAAAUAUAAGAUAUUUUUAUUGUCUGAGGUUUGACUAAAGGGCUAAUACCCAAGACAGAUCAAAACAAAAUAGCUUGGAAAAUGCAGGAAUCAUUACGAUUCUUUAAAUACUUAGAAGUACAGUAGCCAAAGAGGAUGACUCCCAAAACCUCAGUGGAGGCCGACAACAGGAUUUGUUACUCUUACCUGUGUGUACAUGAGCAAUAAGUUAUUUAUCAUCCCAGCUAAAUUGCUGCACCUUGUUCUAUUUUGAAGGAAGGACAUUUUACAUAAUCAUCAUCAAUUUUGCAAACCAUGGGAAAGUUGGAUUUUAAGAAAAAAAAUUCAGAAUUCAGAUGAGUUUUGCUUUGUGGAAUGUUACAAAAAUUAUGUAUGCCAGUCACCAUAACUGGAUUCAACUCCAGGUUUCUGCAUAAGCCAAAAGAUAGAUUCCUUUAUGAAAGUACUUUUUAUUAAUAGUUGUACAGCUUGAGCUGGGUGCUUCUCAAGAGGUACCCCAAAAAAACCCAAAAACUCAAACUAGGUAAUUCUACCCUUACAAUCCAAGUUCCUUGCCUCUCAUGCAGUAAAUUGGAUGAAUAGUGAUAUUAAGGUCUGGUCUUAUAUUUAUUUCCUGUUUUGUUAUUAAGCCGUGCUGGCUGGUUCUGUAGUUACCUAUUCAGUUGCAGUAUGGUUGAUGAUGAACUGGUGCUUAAGAAACCUACUAGAGUUGCCAGAGGAAGCUUGUGACAUGCUGUAAGUUUAAUUAUGUUCAAUUCAUUAACACAAUUAGAGCUGUGAACAAAUCUAUUGACACAGCCAGAAUCACUUAGAAACAGCUAGUAAGUCAUAGAUUACAGGGACUUGUUCUGCAUCCCUACAUGUCGAGCAUGAUUCCCUGGCAAAAUGCAUCAGUCAGUCAUUUGUGAACAUAGAUUUGAUGCCAGAGGUUUCCUCUUUUCCCUGGAUUAGAUUAGUCAUGUUUGAGCAGAAAGGCCUAAUAAUUAAAAACUACAUGAAAGCAAAGUCCUUAAUGUGCACUGACAUCAUGUAGGUGUGAAUGAUUCCUUUGCUGGAUUUACCUAAUGAUCUGUUUGUUGAUAAGGGACAGAUGCAUUUCAGGUACAGUACUUGGUCAAAAUCAAAAUUCACACAUAUUUUGGGGGGGCCCUCUGAGCGCUUUAGUUUUCUUCUGAGCAUGCAUUUGUAACAAAGUCAGUAAAGUGACUAAUAGGGGAUUCAAGGAGAAACGUGUAGGAAAGGUGUAAGGAGAAAAAAAAAAAUCUUCCUGAAAGUUUUGUUCUGUACAUUUCCCACAGUACCGAUCCACUCCCAAAACUUCCAAAAAUUUCUGCAAGGUCAGAACACUUUGUGAAAGUCUUUUAAUGCCAUUGAAACUUCAGCUACUUUUAAGCAACCUGACUGCACUUGGGCAGGAUUGCUUAUAAAUCCCCUGGUUGCUUUCCCAGGCCCACUGUGAUAAGUGAAUCAAGCAGAUGGAAGGAACUUACAUGAAGUAUUUUUGGGCUGUCUUCCCCAGCCUGUAACUUUAUUUCUCUGCUUAUCCUCCACCUCACAGGUUAGGAAAUUUAAGGAAGUGAACUAAUGUGGAAAGUGUAUCUUCGCUUUUGACUGUGGCAAGUUUUUGUGAAGGGUCCCUUGUAAUCACACGUUUGGGAAAUAUGCUCAGGUCAAGUCUGUGUAUUGCCAAGUUAUUCCUAAAGAUUGUUGAAUGGUCCCAGUUUUGUAACUUACAAAUGAUGAAAUAAUAGUGUGCUUAUUGAUAUUUUUCUUUUAUUUUUAAUAUAGCUUUAAAAGCACUUUCACUUGAGCUUCAGGGCAUGGAAUAUUAUGAGGUAAAAUAGUACAUUUCACACAGGUUUGCUUUUAUCAGGCAGCUAGGAACAGCCUAAAAUUCAUAGCCACUGGAAAAUCUACUUACAGAGGUGUGUAGUGAGGCAUUGCAGGUGUAAAAAAUCGCAUAAACCUUUUGUAGACACAAUAUGCUAAUUGCAGAGAUGUAUAUAAUAAUAUAGUAGAACUGUGAUCAACCUUAAUUGCACUAUUAAAAAACAUAUAUACUGUACAUACACUAUUUCACUAGCAAUCCAUAGAGCAUCUGAGGACUUUUACUAGCUAUCAUAAAAACAAUAAUAAAAUAUGUAAAGAAUAAGCUACCAUGAAAAUUGCAGAGGAAAAUGAUGACCCGUGUAUUUUGAGAUUAAGUAUCUUACAUGUAUGUCAUAGUGUUACUUACAUUCACUAAACAGGUUAUUGAAAGGAUGCAUUUGAGGGUUCGGUAACCUGAUGGGUUAAUCCACAGGCUUUCACAUCAGAAGACUGAAACCAAAUUUGAUUUUGGCUAUAAGUGAUUUGUAAGGUUUUGCUAGGUUCCACUUCUUAAUGAAUCUUUCAAGCAGCAAAACUAUGAUGGAGUUUUGUAUUAUUCAUCAGAAUUAAUCUUUCCUGCACAGGAGAAAUCCCGGGUAAGUGUACCUGAGGCCAUGAAAGAGGUUGCAAUGAAAAAGCUGAACUGUAAUCUGACCAAUUACACCAUUAAUGUUAUUAAGCAAAUAAAAAAUAAUUCAUUGCAUGGCUGCUAUAAGCAUUAUCCCAGAGCCAUUAAUGGCCUGGCCCUUUUUGCAUUAACUGAGUGACUGCAGAAUGUGAUUAUCUGUAAUUACACACACAUCCCACUGUGCAGCUCCAGGAAGUCAACCCCAGGCUAGUUGGACCCAGCACUUUUACGUACAUAUACUCUAGUGUAGGUUCAUGUGGCUAAUCUGGGGAGCAAAGCCAUACUCUGUCCAUGCCAUCUCUGUUUGGCACUGCACUGCACUGUGCUUUCUUGGCCACACCUGCCUGUUUGUUCAUCUUCAGGAAUUUCUUCUACAGUGCUAAAAUGCACCAGUGCAAAUCAGUGGUGACUCCAGAAACUGAUUUACCUGGUUUGUUAAGAAACAGAAAAUUAAAAAUGCUUCAUAUUUGUAAACAAACCAAAGCUUUCAAUCUGUAAUUAUGCAUUUCACUGUCUUAAUUCUAAUUUUUUUUCUUCCCAUUACCUUUGUGUUUCAAUCUGUCAGUACAAAACAGCAGAAACUCACUGUGGAUCUCCCAUUGCUUUAGCUGUGGUAUGAAACUUCCCUCUCAUGGUCAGGGAUAGAGCUCUGCCCCUGGCUGCUCAAAUUCUGGCUAACCAGCCUCUUGCCUACAGCACAAGAACUUGGAGUUUGCAUCAGCAGAGUGACUGAGACCAACUCGCAUGCACAGAAGCUGAUUGAUGAAGCAUGAUGCAUCCCUUAAUUAAACAGAAGCUACUAAUAAAAAUGAACUUACCGGAUGAUUUGUGUGAUUCUUGCAAGGCAGCCAUAUGUGCUGCACACUGGUAGUGGGAAUGGGUGGUAUGCAGCUGAUGCUUGGAAACUACAAAAGAGGAAACUUGUUAGGGGAGGCAGUUUGGGUUCUGUCACUACUCAAGGCAGUCCAUAAUUAAUGCCCUCCUCCUUAUCCUUGUUUCUGUGAUAAGCUGUCCUUUCCUCUCCCUCUCUGCACCCUCUCAGCAUUAGUCCUUGCCAUCACUGCUGCUCUCACAACUGCACUUAUUUUCACUACUUCUUUAGCUGUGACUGCAGCAUUUGGGGGAAAAAAAUUCCUUGAAUCUGCACAUCUGUUCCCCUUUCCAUGAGCCAUAAGCAUGUGUGCCUUUGUCUCAGCAAACCUUCACAACAGUUGGGGUCCAGAUGCCUCUUCCUGUGCUUCUCUACAACACUUCACUACAGCAUUUUCCAAGGGAGCUGGAAUGGGAGCACACACGAUGCAUGGGUUGAAGAGGAGGCUCCUGGAAGUCCUUCUCUGUGCCACUGGCCACCUGCAGUUGCUUUUCCUAAGUAUGCUGUUCACCUCUAAGAUCCAAAGUGGUUUCAGUAAGAUGGUAAAACCUUGUAGGGUUGUAUUGCCAACUAAUCAACUAAGUAACAGCCUAGAGGUCAGGAUGUUGUAAAAACAUGGCAACACUUCCUUGGUUACUGUCCACGAUCUGCAAGAAUUCCUGCUGUGCACCAGUGAUACGAGCACAGAAUUUAAAGGGAGAAGUGAUGUGUGACGCUUGUAUCCUCAAGCUCCCCACUCCAUAUGUUUGAGAAUUAAAAUAUUCCUUCCAGAUGUGCAUUCCUCUAACAGGCUGAAGAAAACUGACUCUUUCACCUCAUUUGCUUGGGGGACAUGAUCACAUCUUCAUGUGAAUAAAUAUUCUUUUUCUGCAAUUUUCUGCAGUAAAAAAACAGCAAAGAAAUCCCUUCUUCCAUAUAGUAAGUCAACUUUUAUUAAAAGCAAGCUGAAAAUGAGCUGUGUAGAAAAAAAUGUGAAUUUAGCACAAAACAAGAAAUGCUGUCCUUAACACAUGUGAUAACAGGCCUUUCAUUAUGCAGGUGUUAAGGGUGCAGCUGCAAUCUUCAAUUUCCAAUGCCAUGUUUGAGAAAGAUGUAGUCCUAACAAAGGGAAACCAAAGGGUCAGAAGUCUAAAUGGCAACAAAAUGAAAGAACAGAGGUUCUUUGGUCUAAAUUUUUUUUUAAUUGCAGAGAUACAUAGGAGUUAUCUUUCCAUUUGUAAAAGGCAGCUGGUUAGGAAAAAAAAAAUAAACUUUUCUCCAUGUCCUUGGCCUAUAAAACAAAAAAAUUGCAAGAUUAGAGAGCAGCAGCGUUUAUUCAGAGUUAAGCAUUAAGAAAAACUUACAAACAACAAGGAUAGUUAAACACCAGAAUAGAUUGCCUAGGGAUGUUUUGGAAUCUCUGUGAUUGGAGCUUUAUAAGAACAGGUUAGACAAACAUCUGUCAGGAAUGAUUUAGGUAUAGCUGAUCUUGCCUUGGGGUAGGGGGUUGAACUAGAUGACCUCUAAAGGUUCCUUUCAGCCCUCUUAUGAUUCUGUAAAAAAAAUACAGGAAAUGAUUGCAUGUAGAAUUGAGUUUGGCACCUUUUAGUAAAUCUCAUAGUUUCUGCUUUUCUGUUGUUCUCUUUGCAGUUCAGCCAUGCUGAGGACUCUAGGUUCCAGCAAGAAUCUUAAAAGGCUGUUUGAUGCCAAAUAGUGCUCUGGUUCUUUUACACUGUUAUAUUUAAUUAGGGUUUCUAAUUAAUCUUCUCUGUGUAUUACACUAUAUCCAGCCAUCAAUGUUAAUAAAACCUUUGCAUAGUUUAAAGAUUCUCUGAAAGUUUUCAUUUGGAAAGUGAGACCAUCUGGCCUCUCUACCUCACUAGGAUUAGAUUCUGGGUAAGGCAUACUCCAUCUGUUUCUGAGAUUCACAUACAUAUUACACAAGAAUGUGUGUUGGGGCAAGGCUAAGGAGGGAUUUCAUUGCAAACAUAACUAAGAUAUCGUCAGAUCUGUCUAGAGAAUCUCUUUGAUACUCUUGAUGCAAAAAAAUAAGCAAACUUCCUUUUCAAAAUGUUCUCAGCAUCUCUUCAGAGAAGGGUUAUUUAUUGCUUUCCAUUGUGUGAGGUGAAGUCCUCCACUGAGGAUAUACUUCAAUCCUGAACAUAUGUAGCACAAAAUACUGAAAUGGUAAACUCUGUUUGGUAAUCACUGGGAGUCCCAGGAAAGAUACCCUGCUGUCACUGAGGAGUCCUUGACAUAGUGAGA